UUUGGAGAUUACUCAAAGAGAUUGUAUUAAACCAGGACUAAAUAAUUUUAUAUUACAUGAUGGCAUAAUACAAUCUCUUUGAGUAAUCUCCAAAAGUUCCACAAGCAUAUUUACCAAUAGAAUUCCAAAUUUUCCAAAUUGCAGAGCAUUAUAGCAUACAGCUUACAUGGCAGAAUUUUUACAAGUACAAUUGAUAAUACAAGCAACUAAGAGGUUCCUCUAACUUCAUAUUGGUGGGAAAUUCUGAGAGGAGAUUGCCUUGAUACAGGCCUGUCUUCGGACCACAGCUCUAGAUUAACUGUUCC
rnacentral:misc_RNA from 1 species